rnacentral:rRNA from 1 species
UACGUAGGUGGCAAGCGUUGUCCGGAUUUACUGGGCGUAAAGGGCGCGCAGGCGGUCGUUCAAGUCGCGUGUGAAAGCCCCCGGCUCAACUGGGGAGGGUCACGCGAUACUGAUCGACUGGAAGGCAGGAGAGGGUAGUGGAAUUCCCGGUGUAGUGGUGAAAUGCGUAGAUAUCGGGAGGAACACCAGUGGCGAAGGCGACUUCCUGGCCUGUUCUUGACGCUGAGGCGCGAAAGCUAGGGGAGCAAACGGG